CGCACUCCACGAGUACCUAUACUCGGGCGUCGUACGCUACUAUAGUGUUCUACACUAAGUCUUGGCUUUGGGCAAGAUUGCCCCCACACACCGUCUACCAAACACAUUCUCCUACCUCACAUUGAGGUACAACUAGGCCCACAGGCCAAACUUGGCACCAACCAACUAUUCCCUCAAUAGUGAUUCACUUUCACUGUUCGAUCUACCGAAACAACAUCCAAAACACUCGGAUUACUUGAGUGUCCACAAGUGUAAUGACUCAACUCUCGCAAUCAAUUACUUACAUUGCUCUGUGAGUUGGUCCGCCAAUUCCAUCUCUACCACAUGUCUCAUUCCUUGCAAUAAGACUCACGCUCCCCCCGCACAAUUGC
rnacentral:lncRNA from 1 species